rnacentral:rRNA from 1 species
UACGUAGGGUGCAAGCGUUGUCCGGAAUUAUUGGGCGUAAAGAGCUCGUAGGCGGUUUGUCGCGUCGAAUGUGAAAACCCGGGGCUCAACCCCGGGCCUGCAUUCGAUACGGGCAGACUAGAGUUCGGUAGGGGAGUCUGGAAUUCCUGGUGUAGCGGUGAAAUGCGCAGAUAUCAGGAGGAACACCGGUGGCGAAGGCGGGACUCUGGGCCGAUACUGACGCUGAGGUGCGAAAGCGUGGGGAGCAAACAGG